UACGUAGGGUGCAAGCGUUGUCCGGAAUUAUUGGGCGUAAAGAGCUCGUAGGCGGUUUGUCGCGUCUGCUGUGAAAACGCGAGGCUCAACCUCGCGCCUGCAGUGGGUACGGGCAGACUAGAGUGCGGUAGGGGAGAUUGGAAUUCCUGGUGUAGCGGUGGAAUGCGCAGAUAUCAGGAGGAACACCGAUGGCGAAGGCAGAUCUCUGGGCCGUAACUGACGCUGAGGAGCGAAAGCAUGGGGAGCGAACAGG
rnacentral:rRNA from 1 species